CCUACGGGUGGCAGCAGUGAGGAAUAUUGGUCAAUGGGCGCGAGCCUGAACCAGCCAAGUAGCGUGGAGGAUGACUGCCCUACGGGUUGUAAACUUCUUUUAUAAAGGAAUAAAGUGCGGCACGUGUGCCUUUUUGUAUGUACUUUAUGGAUAAGGAUCGGCUAACUCCGUGCCAGCAGCCGCGGUAAUACGGAGGAUCCGUGCGUUAUCCGGAUGUAUUGGGUUUAAAGGGAGAGUAGAUGGGUUGUUAAGUCACUUGUGAAACUUUACGGCUCAACCGUAAAAUUGCAGUUGAUACUGGCAGUCUUGAGUACAGUUGAGGUAGGCGGAAUUCGUGGUGUAGCGGUGAAAUGCUUAGAUAUCACGAAGAACUCCGAUUGCGAAGGCAGCUUACUAAACUGCCACUGACAUUGAUGCUCGAAAGUGUGGGUAUCAAACAGGAUUAGAUACCCGUGUAGUC
rnacentral:rRNA from 1 species